UACGUAGGUGGCAAGCGUUAUCCGGAAUUAUUGGGCGUAAAGCGCGCGCAGGCGGUCCUUUAAGUCUGAUGUGUAAGCCCACGGCUUAACCGUGGAGGGUCAUUGGAAACUGAGGGACUUGAGUACAGAAGAGGAGAGUGGAAUUCCACGUGUAGCGGUGAAAUGCGUAGAGAUGUGGAGGAACACCAGUGGCGAAGGCGACUCUCUGGUCUGUAACUGACGCUGAGGUGCGAAAGCGUGGGUAGCAAACAGGAUUAGAUACCCU
rnacentral:rRNA from 1 species